AAAUUUAAAAACACUUUGAGAUAUUAGUUUUUAUUAAUUAUAAUCUGCAAAGUGGCAACUACUAAAUCUUUUUUAAUUUUAAUUUUUAUGAUAUUAGCAACUACUAGUUCAACAUUUGCUACGUUGGGAGAAAUGGUGACUGUUCUUAGUAUUGAUGGAGGUUGAAUUAAGGGAAUCAUUCCGGCUACCAUUCUCGAAUUUCUUGAAGGACAACUUCAGAAAGUGGACAAUAAUAAAGAUGCAAGACUUGCAGAUUACUUUGAUGUAAUUGGAGGAACAAGUACAGGAGGUUUAUUGACUGCUAUAAUAACUACUCCAAAUGAAAACAAUCGACCCUUUGCUGCUGCCAAGGAUAUUGUACCUUUUUACUUCGAACAUGGCCCUCAUAUUUUUAAUAAUAGUGGUUCAAUUUUUGGCCCAAAAUAUGAUGGAAAAUAUCUUAUGCAAGUUCUUCAAGAAAAACUUGGAGAAACUCGUGUGCAUCAAGCUUUGACAGAAGUUGCCAUCUCAAGCUUUGACAUCAAAACAAAUAAGCCAGUAAUAUUCACUAAGUCAAAUUUAGCAAAUGCUCCAGAAUUGGAUGCUAAGAUGUAUGACAUAUGUUAUUCCACAGCAGCAGCUCCAAUAUAUUUUCCUCCACAUUACUUUACUACUCAUACUAGUAAUGGUGAUAUAUAUGAGUUCAAUCUUGUUGAUGGUGGUGUUGCUACUGUUGGUGAUCCGGCGUUAUUAUCCCUUAGCGUUGCAACGAAACUUGCACAAGUGGAUCCAAAAUUUGCUUCAAUUAAGUCAUUGGAUUACAAGCAAAUGUUGUUGCUCUCAUUAGGCACUGGCACUAAUUCAGAGUUUGAUAAAACAUAUACAGCAGAAGAGGCAGCUAAAUGGGGUCCUCUACGAUGGAUGUUAGCUAUACAGCAAAUGACUAAUGCAGCAAGUUCUUACAUGACUGAUUAUUACAUUUCUACUGUUUUUCAAGCUCGUCAUUCACAAAACAAUUACCUCAGGGUUCAAGAAAAUGCAUUAACAGGCACAACUACUGAAAUGGAUGAUGCGUCUGAGGCUAAUAUGGAUUUAUUAGUACAAGUUGGUGAAACAUUAUUGAAGAAACCAGUUUCCAAAGACAGUCCUGAAAACCUAUGAGGAAGCUCUAAAGAGAUUUGCAAAAUUGCUCUCUGAUAGGAAGAAACUCCGAGCAAACAAAGCUUCUUAUUAAUUCAAGGUCCCGGGUUGUAGUAGUAAAUAAUAAACGCUUGCAAUAUUUAUGAUUGCACGCAUUUAAGUAUUUCAACCUCAAAAUAAAAGGAGUUUGAGGGAUAAAUUUCAAUAGAAAUGUCUCUCUAUGUAAUGUGUGCUUGGAUUAUGUAACCUUUUGGUUGUGUUAAAUAUUUAAAUAAAUUGUCGUUAUUUUAUGC